GCGGAGGGAUCAUUACUGAGUUUACGCUCUAUAACCCUUUGUGAACAUACCUAUAACUGUUGCUUCGGCGGGUAGGGUCUCCGCGACCCUCCCGGCCUCCCGCCUCCGGGCGGGUCGGCGCCCGCCGGAGGAUAACCAAACUCUGAUUUAACGACGUUUCUUCUGAGUGGUACAAGCAAAUAAUCAAAACUUUUAACAACGGAUCUCUUGGUUCUGGCAUCGAUGAAGAACGCAGCGAAAUGCGAUAAGUAAUGUGAAUUGCAGAAUUCAGUGAAUCAUCGAAUCUUUGAACGCACAUUGCGCCCGCCAGCAUUCUGGCGGGCAUGCCUGUUCGAGCGUCAUUUCAACCCUCAAGCUCUGCUUGGUGUUGGGGCCCUACAGCUGAUGUAGGCCCUCAAAGGUAGUGGCGGACCCUCCCGGAGCCUCCUUUGCGUAGUAACUUUACGUCUCGCACUGGGAUCCGGAGGGACUCUUGCCGUAAAACCCCCCAAUUUUCCAAAGGUUGACCUCGGAUCAGGUAGGAAUACCCGCUGAACUUAAGCAUAUC
rnacentral:rRNA from 1 species